rnacentral:rRNA from 1 species
AGCGAACGCUGGCGGCAGGCCUAACACAUGCAAGUCGAGCGCUCGUAGCAAUACGGGAGCGGCAGACGGGAGAGUAACACGUGGGAACGUACCCUUCGGUUCGGAAUAACCCAGGGAAACUUGGGCUAAUACCGGAUACGUCCGUAAGGAGAAAGAUUUAUUGCCGAAGGAUCGGCCCGCGUCCGAUUAGCUAGUUGGUG